GGGUUCGUAGUUUAAUGGAUAGAAUGUCAGGUUUCGGCCCUGAUGAUGGGGGUUCGAUUCCCUCCGAACCCG
rnacentral:tRNA from 1 species